rnacentral:ncRNA from 2 species
GUCUCAUCAAGAACGACUGAGGGAACAGGCCCGAUGACGUCGUGGCAACCGGACCCCUCCACGCGAGGGGUCGUCCUGGUGCCAACUCCUGCCCCGCCCCGCGUGGGGACAGAUGAGAG